rnacentral:rRNA from 1 species
UACGAAGGGGGCUAGCGUUGCUCGGAAUCACUGGGCGUAAAGCGCGCGCAGGCGGCGAUCUACGUCUGGGGUGAAAGCCCGGAGCUCAACUCCGGGACUGCCUUGGAUACGGGAUCGCUUGAGGAUUGGAGAGGCAAGGGGAAUUCCACGUGUAGCGGUGAAAUGCGUAGAUAUGUGGAGGAACACCUGUGGCGAAGGCGCCUUGCUGGCCAAUUUCUGACGCUGGGGCGCGAAAGCGUGGGGAGCAAACAGG